rfam:Firmicutes bacterium CAG:194 genomic scaffold, scf47
GCGUAUUUCUACUUGGCUAAAUGCUGGUGAUGAAUAUGGUGCCACGACAUGGACGUCGUGGCAGCGGAUCUGAGACAGGGAUGUCGAAUAUCCGCGUGCCAUAUGAAUGCCAGCAUGUGCCUUAGUAGAAAAGCAU